rnacentral:pre_miRNA from 1 species
AAAGUACUCCCUCCAUCCCAAAAUUCUUGUUUUAGAUUUGUCUAGAUACAGAUGUAUCAAGUCACAUUUUAGUAUUAGAUACAUCUGUAUCUAGACAAAUGUAAGACAAGAAAUUUGGGACAGAGGGAGUAGUUG